rnacentral:lncRNA from 1 species
UGAUAAUCAUUAGUAUGUGAUUAAAAAAAAAGAUUGUAAUUUCAGGCAUAGGAAAAUAUGAAAAUAGCGUGUCCUAAAUGUGAGGCAAGAAACAUUAGUCUCCAGUUACUGAAGUUAGCUGUGAGAUUAAACAAACAACCAUAACAAAAGCAUGUGUUCAGUCACAACUCAUCCUUUACACGAAAAUAUCAGAGACCUGAGGACACUCACAGGCCUUCCUGGCUCUGACCAGCCUCACCUGGACUCACACCUCUGUCCUUGGGCCCAAUUUAAGCUUAGCCUCAGGCUGUCAGACCUUCUCUGAGCUGUGAGGGCCUUGCUUUGCUCUCUGCUGUAACAAGGGCUGUGGAUAGGCCCUGUGGGACUGUGCCCUGCUGGCACAGACCCGGUUUAUUGCCUUCCUCCCUGAGAGGGGCUGCCGUGUUUUUGCUGUGCUCCAACAGGUUCGAUAUCUUGGGGUUUUGUUGUUAGGAAUCUAUCUCCACUACAGAAUUCAUUGCAGAAUUUGAACCCCUUCUUAUAAAGGACUUCUGUAAGUCUAAAUUGAUUACUUAAAAAAUACUGAUUGAGGGGAAUGGGAGGAGGACUUGGGUAGGGAAGCUGCAAGUCCACCUCAGUCUCAUACCAUCUCCUGCUGCCUCAGAGGCUGAAAGCCCUAGCUUUCGAUUGCAUACACUACUUGUUUCAGAUCACACCCCGGAAGGAGCUCAUCCUUUCUUAUUGCCCUCUUUCUCACGCUCAUUCCAGUACCUUCCCACACAAAUUUCCCCAUCUCAGGCUUCCUUCUGGCUCAGCCCACUUGCCAGGUCUUAAAACUCCUCUCACUCUUGAACGCUUCCUUCCCAUGUUUUUGUCCAAUACUUCCUUCUGCCCUAAUCACAUCCUUUCUCAGCUUACAGUUUCCACACCUGCUGCAAUUAUUUGUGUGCUACAGUUGUUUCCUCUAGUUCCCACUGCCCUCAGCCUUCCACAAGCACUGCUUUUGGAGUGAAGAAACUACUAGCUCUCAGCACGCUGAUCUUCUGCUGUCCUGGGUUCUCAGAAAUCCAGACACGUUUAAUACUUAUGCAGAACUCAGGACAGAAUUCUGAGGGCAGUAAUGCAAAAAACAUUAAUCCAAAAGGAGGUGAAUGAAGUUUUUAAAGCUUG